CGGACGGGUGAGUAACACGUGGAUAACCUACCUAUAAGACUGGGAUAACUUCGGGAAACCGGAGCUAAUACCGGAUAAUAUAUUGAACUGCAUGGUUCAAUAGUGAAAGACGGUUUUGCUGUCACUUAUAGAUGGAUCCGCGCCGCAUUAGCUAGUUGGUAAGGUAACGGCUUACCAAGGCAACGAUGCGUAGCCGACCUGAGAGGGUGAUCGGCCACACUGGAACUGAGACACGGUCCAG
rnacentral:rRNA from 1 species